GCCCACUAUAGUUUAUUAAAACAUUGAAUUGCAAAUUCAAAAAAGGAAUAGUUAUUCCUAGUGAGUU
rnacentral:tRNA from 1 species